CCUGAAUGAUACCAUCAGCUCUGACUGCCUGCAGCAGCAGCCUUGCAUGAGCGUAAGUGGCACGGGGCUACCUCAAGCCACAGUUCAACUCUGACUGCAGGUCUGACAAUGGGUCACUCACCUGUCAUACCUGCCAUAGACCUGUACAGGGGCUAAACCUCCACUCAGGGCAGAGGUCGAGGGCCCUGCACCACAGGCAGAGCAGCUGUGUGGGCGCAGGAGUGUGGAAGACUGAGUGAGUGUUUUGCAGAGAGAACUGCAGUGGGGCGUGGUUGACAGGAACGGUGUACUCGUAAUGGAUUCCAUAAUUUUGGUCAUGAAAUAACAGCACCUGGAUCAGCAGCAAAGAUCAAAGGCCGUUUUGAAAUGGAGCAGAAGCCCACAGGCUUGCAGAAUUGGCGA